CCGGACAGUGAGCAGGUCCCACCCUCAGCCACCUGCACACAGCGGAGCAUUCCAUGCGGGCAGGACAGGAGGCGGUGGAGCCUGUACCCAGGAUAUGCUCUGUGUGUGCCCAGCCUGACUGGGGCUCCUGGCACAGGUGUGAAUGGGCCCCUGUCUUCACCGACUCCAGGGUAAGGAGCUUCCGGGCACUUCUUUCCUACACACAGCCAAUAUUGGCACCAUUAGGCUUGUCACUGAAGAUUUGUACGUCGUCUGCAACAGUCUCUAGGUAAGUGAUACGUGUCAAAGUAACAUCCACAUGAAUGCCAGGACCCAAGGUUUCCCAGCAGAACAUUGCCCAGAGCAUAACACUGCCUUCUUCCUAUAGUGCAUCCUGCGGUCAGCUCUUCCCCAGGUAAACGACACCCACCCGACCAUCCACCUGAUCUAAAAGACAUUGUGAUUCAUCAGACCAAGGAACCUUCUUCCAUUGCUCCAUUGUCCAGUUCUGAUGCUCACGUCCCCAUUGAAGAUGUUUUCGACGGUGGAAAGGAGUCAUCUUGCGCACUCUGACCGGUCUCUGGCCACAUGCAGCAAACUACGAUACACUGUGUGUUGACACCUUUCUAUCAUGGACAGCAUUAAGUUUUUCUGCAAUUUGAGCUACAGUAGCUCUUCUGUGUGAUUGGAGCAGACGGGCUACUGUAGAUCCACAUGUGAAUCAAUAAGCCCUGGACGCCCGGUUCGCUGGUUGACCUUUCGUCAUCUCUUUUUAUAUGUCCAAACCACUGCAUACUGGGAACACACCACAAGACUUGCCAUUUGGUGGUGCUCUGACCCAGUCAUUUAGCCAUCACUAUUUGCCACUUGUCAAAGUGAUUCAGAUCUUUAUGCUUGCCCAUUUGUCUUGCUUCCAACACCUGAAAUUUAAGAACUGACUGUUCACUUGCUGCCUUAUAUAUCACAACCCGUUGGCAUGUGCCACUGUAAGAAUAAAAUCAAUGUUAUACACUUCA